GCCAUCCGUUCCUGGUUUCCUCGCAACGAACGGUAGACUGCAAUAGUCGUCUCGCACCGCCCCCGCCCUCCCCCAAACCCUAGACAACAUCGCUCGUCUGCCGCCGGCGGUCGAGCACGCGCUAAAGCGGCAGCUCUGGGAUGGUGAGGUGAUCCCGUACGCGACCUGCUGCGUGUGUGCUAGGAGGUGGGCACGGCAAGGACGCACGACGCCGUUCCUGCUGCUACCGUUGGUACAUCGCCGCCGGCGUUCCACCCGUCGCCUCCCAGUUCUCCUCCUCAAAUCCGCCUGCGUUCCGAGGCGGAGCGCCGCUCCGCCGGCCGCCGCUGAUCAGCACCAAAAUGGAACCCCCUCAAUGUCCUCUCUUUUCCUCCGCUCAACGCACUCUCCUGUACCCUAAUUUUUUUGGAUUUUAGGCUGUAGGUGCCGCUGGCCACCAUGGCUGUUGCCCGAGGUGCUUGCUUCUCCUUUCAAGCACGAGCAUCCCUGGAUUGCCAGCUACAAUCCACUGGAGCAUGAUGCCAAUCUUACCGUCGAUGGCAUCCUCUAGGGAUGAGACUAAAAGGUCAUAAACAGGCAUGGAAAGCGUCUGAUAUCAGAGAGAUAUCAACGGCUGAUCUGGAAUGCUGCAGACGGAGAGGAUACACACAUGUGCAGGCGUGCAGCUACGACACACCCGUGGGGUCGAGGCUGACUCAAAUGACAUGGAGUGUAGUUUAGCAGUUUGAGAAAAUGCCCAAGUAGUAGUCGGUAUAAUUGUUGAUUUGAUAUUGUCUUACUUAUUGAAAGUUUCAACUAGCAUUGAUAUCGACUACUAAUUUUGACAUAGAUGAUUGUUUUGACAAGCUUACAGUUGAUACUGAUGACAAACGUACAAUCCCAUGCUUUCAUUGCUUGCAGAGGAUGUCAAGCACUUGCAUUCGAAAUAUAUGAGGGAUUUAUGAAGCUGGCUCAUCAAACAUUUGACGAGUGGGGGGGGGGGGGGGGGGGGGGGGUAAUAAUUUCAGAAUAUAACAAAAGGUCUAACCUGUGCAAAGGUCUAUUAGCUCUCUAUCAGUACUUCAGUAGUAGUGCUUUUACAAAGAGAUGAUGCAAUCAUGCUCUAAUGCUAUAAUGUGUCUUAAAUAUUGUGAGCAGAGGAGAACUUGUUCUUCUGAAUUAGGAAACCCUGAACAUAUUGUUAUAAUAAUGUUUGCACAAGUUACUGUUCUAAAGCAGCCCAACCAUAUUAAUGACAUCAAAUAGAAAAUUGCAAAAUUCUUGUUCUUCUGAAUUAGGAAGCGCUGUGAUGCAAUGAUUUUGAUGGAAAUUAUUGCUAUAUGUUUGCCAGCACUAACAACUGUAAUUUUUCUUUUUGACUCUGUACUAGAGAAAUGGAAUUGGAUUACCAUGGAAAGUCAAUUGUGUUUCGAGUUUGAUAAUCAGUGUUGAUCCAAAAAAAUAAAAUGAAUUUGAAUGUUCUAUUGUUCUUGUCAUCUUUAUUUGCAGCAAAACAAUAGAAAGCAGCAUCUCCCAUAUUCAAGAAUGUUGCAAGACAUUGCUCCUGCAAUCAAUAUGCUUGAGUCACAUAUGUUUACCUUUGCUCAUAUUUCAGGAAAACACUCCAUCAAACGGUACACAAUUUGUCUCCUACAGAUUGGUAUGUACUCUUUUUAGUUUUUUUUUUCAAGUGUGGCAUUGAAGUGUUUGUUGUACAAUCCACCGCAAGAACCAUGUCAAUAUGGAGUGCUCAAUCUCCCAGAUAAAUGGUGCUGAUAAGAUUUGGGCAAUUAUUGAGUGCUUCGUCUCCCAGAUUGUGAUUUGGUUUUUGUUUAUAACUCCUUGAAUUGUAUAAUAGAAUAACAUGUGUUGUCUGUAACAUGUCCUCUUUUACUACAAUACAUAGUACAAAUCUUAGCAACCACUAACAUGAGUCUAGGCUUUCACAUAGACUUAUAGUAUCAACUCGUUGCUACGAGCAA